rfam:Picea glauca, whole genome shotgun sequence.
UAUGUAAUGCCUACAAUGUUAAUGCACCGAAUCCCAUUAGAACAACGUAGUUAAGUGCACUUGGGCUAGAGUAGUAUUGGGAUGGGUGACCUCCUGGGAAUCCCUAGUGUUUUACAUGC